rnacentral:rRNA from 1 species
GGACAGAAGGGAGCUUGCUCCCGGAAGUCAGCGGCGGACGGGUGAGUAACACGUGGGUAACCUGCCUGGAAGACUGGGAUAACUCCGGGAAACCGGGGCUAAUACCGGAUAACAUCAAGAGCUGCAUGGCUUUUGAUUGAAAGGCGGCUUCGGCUGCCACUUACAGAUGGACCCGCGGCGCAUUAGCUAGUUGGUGGGGUAACGGCUCACCAAGGCGACGAUGCGUAGCCGACCUGAGAGGGUGAUCGGCCACACUGGGACUGAGACACGGCCCAGACUCCUACGGGAGGCAGCAGUAGGGAAUCUUCCGCAAUGGACGAAAGUCUGACGGAGCAACGCCGCGUGAGUGAAGAAGGUUUUCGGAUCGUAAAACUCUGUUGUCAGGGAAGAACAAGUACGGUAGUAACUGCCCGUACCUUGACGGUACCUGGCCAGAAAGCCACGGCUAACUACGUGCCAGCAGCCGCGGUAAUACGUAGGUGGCAAGCGUUGUCCGGAAUUAUUGGGCGUAAAGCGCGCGCAGGCGGCCUUUUAAGUCUGAUGUGAAAGCCCACGGCUCAACCGUGGAGGGUCAUUGGAAACUGGAAGGCUUGAGUGCAGAAGAGAAGAGCGGAAUUCCACGUGUAGCGGUGAAAUGCGUAGAGAUGUGGAGGAACACCAGUGGCGAAGGCGGCUCUUUGGUCUGUAACUGACGCUGAGGCGCGAAAGCGUGGGGAGCGAACAGGAUUAGAUACCCUGGUAGUCCACGCCGUAAACGAUGAGUGCUAAGUGU